UUUGCACAUAAUUUUUUUUUUUUUUUUUUUUUUUUGCAUAAUGCUGCAGCUUCAAAUAGAUUAAUGAAAAUAAAAAGGACAAGCUGUAAUUGUACAUUAUCAGUUUGUUACAUUAACUGUACAACACAAUCUUGCUAUGCUCUGCAGACAUAUGGUUUUAAUUUGUCAUGAUGUACUACGCGAGGUUUCUGACGUAACCCUUGAAUACGGUACAAAAUGCUACUGAUUUUUGUUAAAACUGUAUAGGGACCCUUCCACAGUCUCGUGAAUUUACUAGUUCGCCCGACUUUCCUUUGUGGGUUAUAAUACCACACCUGAUCACCUACAUCAUACUGUUGAAAGUUAGUAUUGAGGUCAUAUUUCUUUUUCAUGACCUCACUAGAGACUUUAAGUUCGUUCCUAGCAUAUUCAUGUAUUUCUACUAUUCUACUUUCCAAAGCAUUUACAUAAUCAGAACCAUAUUUUAGUCUCGUUUCAGCAUUUUCUAAUUCAGGCUGUCCAAAGACAAGAUCAAUUGGGAGCCUUAUUUCAGAGCCAUAGACCAUAGAUGCGGGUGUGACACCAAUGGCUUCAUGUACAGAACUACGAUGGGCCAUUAAACAUAAAGAUUCAAACACCAGUCACUAACCCAGUUGAAGAACAGGACAAGUCAAUUUUUGCAAUUUAUGUACACUUAUUCAAUAAACAACACUGUUCU